GUGGAGCAGAUGCGGGGUGCUUCCUAGAUGCGAGUGCCGUCGGGGCGCGUGGAAUGCAGAGGCAGCGCCCGGGGUGCGGUCCACCUACGACGUUCUCGCCAAAUGUGGUCCUCUUUCACCUACUGCGUUUACAGUAUUAUUUGUAUCUAACCGGGAGGAGUUUGGCUUCACUGUUUCUAUGGCAACGGUCAUCAGUAAUCCAAUUUCCGAGUGUUGUGGCUGAAAAACCAGUGACUGUAAUUCUGAAAAGUUUCCCAGUUUAUGAAGCACAGAAGGAGUGGAUGCACAGAGACACUAACUGAUGCAGUGAUUUAUCGGUUUAUCAGGGUUGGG